rnacentral:lncRNA from 12 species
UGCCCUCUCCGGGCCCAGAGUUAGAGAACUCACUGGAGGUGGGGGGCACGAGUGUCACAAGGGCAGCACCAGCCCAGAGCUUUGGCCCUGGGAAGAGAUGCACGAGCGGGGCGUCUGGGAGGAGCUGUGGGAGCACGAGCCUCGGCCUGGCUUGCAGAACAGAGUUUAUGUUUCUUUAGUAAACAGAAGACUUGCAUUGGAGGACUUGAACGAUUUCCACGAACUGCAGAAGUUCUUUCUCCAAAGCUUUGUGAAGUCAGAAUAUAUUUUCCUGCUUUCCCUUCUCCCAAGCAGACGUGACUUCAGUCGUCUGGACCCUCAUGACAUCGCAUCACCAAGCUCUACCCCGCAUCAUAAUCAUUUGCGACUCUUGUCUUAUUUCCUUUGCUAGAUUUUUAGCUUUUUGAGGUCAGGGCUAUAUCUGAAUAAUAUCGCCACUCCUCACGGUGCUGAAUGAAUGAAAAAAAUCACUCAUUGUUAACUGAUAAAGCAGAAUUAAGAAGGGAUCCAUUGUUGCAUGGAGAACUGAAUGAACGAAAAAAACAUCAGCAAACAGAAUGGUGUUUCAUCAGUGUUCACUGGUAGGGGCAGCUUUCAGAACAAUACACUGUGUCACAGGGAACCAGUCCUCGAUUGAGUAAGGACACGAUCUUCCAUUAACACACCUAUUAUUUUUAAGGGAAUGCUCCUGACUGAACCUGGAAUUAGGACAUGGGGACUGUAAUCCCAGCUCGGUGACUAGCAACUGGGGACAUGUGGCCAAGCUGUUUGAGCCUCUGAAUAUCAGUUUCCUCCUGCAUACAAUGAAGGGAUUGAAGUCAAUAUUAGGUCAUCCCCCAAGUUCCUUCCAGUUUUCAUGUCCACUAAAGUGUGGGGCUCUCUGUGUCUGUCUCAAUGUUGGGGACACAGUGGAUGCUCAGGAAACACCUGUGACUGACUCCAAGGAGUUGGUUAAGAGGUUUGAUUUUGGGGGCCCCUGGGUGGCUCUGUGGUUGAGCGUCUGCCUUCAGCUCAAGUCAUGACCUCGGGGUCCUGGAAUCGAGUCCCACGUCGGGCUCCCUGAAGGGAGCCUGCUUCUCCCUCUGCCUGUGUCUCUGCCUCUCUUUCUCUGUCUCUCAGGAAUAAAUAAAAUAAAAUAAAAUAAAAUAAAAUAAAA